rnacentral:rRNA from 1 species
GGAUAACACUUGGAAACAGGUGCUAAUACCGCAUAACAGUUUAUGCCGCAUGGCAUAAGAGUGAAAGGCGCUUUCGGGUGUCRCUGAUGGAUGGACCCGCGGUGCAUUAGCUAGUUGGUGAGGUAACGGCUCACCAAGGCCACGAUGCAUAGCCGACCUGAGAGGGUGAUCGGCCACACUGGGACUGAGACACGGCCCAGACUCCUACGGGAGGCAGCAGUAGGGAAUCUUCGGCAAUGGACGAAAGUCUGACCGAGCAACGCCGCGUGAGUGAAGAAGGUUUUCGGAUCGUAAAACUCUGUUGUUAGAGAAGAACAAGGACGUUAGUAACUGAACGUCCCCUGACGGUAUCUAACCAGAAAGCCACGGCUAACUACGUGCCAGCAGCCGCGGUAAUACGUAGGUGGCAAGCGUUGUCCGGAUUUAUUGGGCGUAAAGCGAGCGCAGGCGGUUUCUUAAGUCUGAUGUGAAAGCCCCCGGCUCACCGGGGAGGGUCAUUGGAAACUGGGAGACUUGAGUGCAGAAGAGGAGAGUGGAAUUCCAUGUGUAGCGGUGAAAUGCGUAGAUAUAUGGAGGAACACCAGUGGCGAAGGCGGCUCUCUGGUCUGUAACUGACGCUGAGGCUCGAAAGCGUGGGG